CUAAGCAUAUCAAUAAGCGCAGGAAAAGAAACCAACAGGGAUUGCCUCAGUAACGGCGAGUGAAGCGGCAACAGCUCAAAUUUGAAAUCUGGCCUCUCGGGGUCCGAGUUGUAAUUUGUAGAGGAUGUUUCGGGUACCGCCUCGGUUUAAAUUUCUUGGAACAGAAUGUCAAAGAGGGUGAGAAUCCCGUCUUGGACCGGCGGUAGGGCCUAUGUGAAACUCCUUCGACGAGUCGAGUUGUUUGGGAAUGCAGCUCAAAAUGGGUGGUAAAUUUCAUCUAAAGCUAAAUAUUGGCCAGAGACCGAUAGCGCACAAGUAGAGUGAUCGAAAGAUGAAAAGCACUUUGAAAAGAGAGUUAAACAGUAUGUGAAAUUGUUGAAAGGGAAGCGCUUGCAACCAGACUUGAGCGCGGCGGUUCCCCCUUGCUUCUGCUUGGGUUACUCCGCCGUGUCCAGGCCAACAUCGGUUCUGGGGGUCGGUCAAAGGCCUUGGGAAUGUAUCUACCUACGGGUAGACUUAUAGACCAGGGUGUCAUGCGACCUCCCGGGACCGAGGAACGCGCUUCGGCUCGGAUGUUGGCGUAAUGGUUGUCAGCGACCCGUCUUGAAACACGGACCAAGGAGUCUAACAUCUAUGCGAGUGUUUGGGUGUCAAACCCGGAACGCGAAAUGAAAGUGAACGGAGGUAGGAAGCUUCGGCUGCACUAUCGACCGAUCCUGAAGUUUACGGAUGGAUUUGAGUAAGAGCAUAGCUGUUGGGACCCGAAAGAUGGUGAACUAUGCCUGAAUAGGGUGAAGCCAGAGGAAACUCUGGUGGAGGCUCGCAGCGGUUCUGACGUGCAAAUCGAUCGUCAAAUUUGGGUAUAGGGGCGAAAGACUAAUCGAACCAUCUGGUAGCUGGUUCCUGCCGAA
rnacentral:rRNA from 1 species